rnacentral:rRNA from 1 species
UACGGAGGGUGCGAGCGUUAUCCGGAUUUAUUGGGUUUAAAGGGUGCGCAGGCGGAGGUGCAAGUCAGCGGUCAAAUUGCGGGGCCCAACCCCGGCCCGCCGUUGAAACUGGCAGUCUCGAGUUGGAGAGAAGUAUGCGGAAUGCGCGGUGUAGCGGUGAAAUGCAUAGAUAUCACGCAGAACUCCGAUUGCGAAGGCAGCAUACCGGCGCCCGACUGACGCUGAGGCACGAAAGCGUGGGGAUCGAACAGG